rnacentral:misc_RNA from 1 species
GAGAAUAAAGAAAGCAGAAGGCCUCCUAAAAUCAGGUAGCCUCCCGGAACAGGGCCUCUGGUCGGUUUUAGUCCUGUGACUGUCACGAAUAGCUUCAGUUUUGGUUCGAGUUGAACGUCAAUGUAAAUCAUUCUUUCAUGGCUCAUGGCUCUUUCCAUACUACGCAAACAACUGUGGGUUUGGGGAUGUUUUUCUGUUGUGAUAGCUAGGUCUCAUUUAUGUGUUAUUUCUUCUCCUGAUUACUAUACACUUCUGUAUGAAUACCAAAA